UACGGAGGGUGCAAGCGUUGUUCGGAAUCACUGGGCGUAAAGGGCGCGCAGGCGGUUUGGUAAGUCAGAUGUGAAAGCCCACGGCUUAACCGUGGAAGUGCAUUUGAUACUGCCAGACUUGAGUACCAGAGGGGAAAGUGGAAUUCCCGGUGUAGAGGUGAAAUUCGUAGAUAUCGGGAGGAAUACCGGUGGCGAAGGCGACUUUCUGGCUGAGUACUGACGCUGAGGCGCGAAAGCGUGGGGAGCAAACAGGAUUAGAUACCCUGGUAGUCCACGCCGUAAACGAUGUCAACUAGAUGCAGGGGGUGUUGAUCCCCUCUGUGUCGCAGCUAACGCAUUAAGUUGACCGCCUGGGGAGUACGGUCGCAAGAUUAAA
rnacentral:rRNA from 1 species